GCGUGUGCGCGUGUGCAUGCGUGUGCGUGUGUGUGCGUGUGUGAUAAAUAAUGGUUGCAUCGAAUUCCUGGGCCGCUUGCUUUCUUCAGGUCUUAAUGCAAAACAAAACAUUCACCUCUGACAAUCCUGAUGCCGGUGAAGUCCUCAAUGAAUGGUAACUGCUGCUUUUAUGUUAAAACACGGCUGCGAAGUAUGUCACAUGUCGUGAGACGGUAAGACCGGGGGUGCUUGCGCAGAAACACCGACGAGGAGACGCGCUUCUCAGACAGUGCAUUUGGGAUGGGUUCCUCAACCCGGGCAGGUGGAGAUCCGCAGAGCCUGGGAGGGGACUGUCUCGUGACAGGGGAUGGAGAAGGGGCAAAGGACAACAAAGGGAGUGGAGAAAGUUUUCGGGAGUGAGCAGAAUGGAGAAGCGAAGAAGAGGGUUUCAUACCCACAUUGCCCAGGUGAGACGCAAAGGAUCAGCCGAGCCAAGUCAUGUAACGGAAAAAUAAACACACAAAGAAAUACGCCUCGGGGCCGGGAGGACAUGUUAGGGCCCCUUCCCGAGGCUUCUGUCCUCGCCUCUCUUCUCUUCUCUGGGAGGAAGUGCUAAGAAAGAAGGAAAAAACUGCAAGAUCCUUUCGGUCUCGCUCGGCAUUUGUCGGGUCUUUUUCUGACUCCCCCGUCCUGCGUACAAGAGCAAGAGCAAGGGUUGCACGCUUUGUCAGAGAGAGGGAGAAGCUGCACACGUUCCGGGUGUCUGCCGAGACCUGGGAUCCCAGCACACGUGGGACUGUCACGGCGGACACGUUCUCGGCACAUUCCCAGCUCCGACUCGGCGCCUCCUCUGAGUUCAGGCACUGGGACCCUAACUCCAGGAUCUCAGGAUGCGGCAGGUUUUGAAAAUGGCGUCUUCAUAGACAUGAUGGAAUGAGGUCCCCAGGGUGGCCCCGAGCCCAGGGCUGGGUCCUCCUGAAAAGAGGGCGGGAGGACGCGGACACACACAGGGACGCGCUUGUGAGGACACAGGAAGCCUGGGGGGAGCCAGCGUUGCCCACGCUGGGCCUGGGGCCUGCAGCUCCGGGAUGUCCGAAGUUGAAGGGACCAGGCGAGGGGACUUUAAUUUGCAGAGGGAGGGCACAAUUCUGCUCCUAACAGGAAUUAGGCAUGUGGCAAAAUGCGCCUUCUACAACAGUGCUGCGUACACUGGAAAGCAAUGCAUUCUCUCCCUGGUGCAAACUAGAAAAGAAAAAUCAGAAAAGCUAAGUGAGCAAAGGAAACUGCAUCUAAACAGAGUGUUUUACCUGAGAGGGAAAAAGCACUUGUAUGCUCAUCACAAACGGGUAGGAGCUCCUGGAUUUCAUGUGUCUUAGGAGCAUGAUACGCCCCGGGCCAGCUGAGCCCAGGCUCCUGGCUGGCUCACUUCCAGCCUUCUCCAGCAGAUAUUUUUCAUUUAUUCUUAUCUUUUCUCAAUGCUUUCCCACGGAGGAGUUCAUACAUCUGGCCUCUCCAUGAGAUUCUUGAUGCCACAUUUUUCUCCCUGGAAGCUGGUGUGGUGGCCCACACCUGUCAGCCCACUACUCUCUCGGGAGGCUGAGGCAGGAGGAUUGCUGCAAGUUUGAGAGUGAGACUCCUCGCCCACCGUCCUGUCCCGUUUCUGGGAACCACACACUGCAGCGCAGUUGUUUGUUGAGUGCUUGUGAGGCGAGACCACCCCCCGGCAGCUGGACAGGUCCUCACAGGGAAAGAUGAGCAGCAUCCCGUCACACGUCUCGAUGCCCGGCUCGAAUUUCGUUCCUUCUCUGUUGGAAGGUGCAGCUUAUCUGACCGGAAGCCUCUUCGGUAGGAAAGCCAAUGUGAAACAGGAAAACUGAAUCCAAAUUCAUCCAGCGUAAAAACCCAUGUAAUAUUUUCUUCCCUCUGGAAACGGGGGUGUCCGUGUACUUGACGUGGUUUGCACCAAAACUUAGGCAUGUGGUCCUGCCUGGGAGUUAAACAGGCACACGGAUUUCUUUGGAGAUUUCCAGUUCUUCGAAUGCGAUUUGCAAAAGCCAGAUUCUCUUGUGUGUAGGCUGAGCUGUCUCCCAGAAAACCAGGGGGAGAAGCCAGGCUGUAAAAAGCCCCCAAAGCAUGCAGCGCUCAGUCCUGCGGGUCGGGUUAGGGGCCAGGACUGGGUGUGGUUGUUUCCAAGGGGGAAAAAUUGGUGGAAAAAUACAUGAAUUACUCCCAAGCUACUGGCUGGGUUGGUAUUAUUUAGAAAAGAGUCAACGCGCCUAAUUCGUUCCAGAAGCCUGCUUAUCCAAACAAUGAACGCACUUCAGGCCCCCUCAGGUGAGUCAUCCACGGCCCGUCUCUGCUUUGGAUCAUUGAACUCUCUGUCCACCCAAAUCCAAGACCCAGCUCUGCAAUCAGGUUUUUUUUAUUGUUGUUUUUUUUGCAACCAUUUUAAAAGAGACAUAAAAUAAAACGGAGAGGAAACUCGAUGCCGAGAAACACACAGAGCUGCACACAUCUGGGUUUGAUUGGGGCUGUGUUUUUAUUUCCAUGUUGCAGCUUUCAUUUUUCCAAAUGACCGAUGGGUGAAAAAUUUUUAAUGGCUGUAACCCUUUUUUUCCAACCGACAACGGCGAUCCGGGCUGUCAG
ensembl:lncRNA